AUUGAACGCUGGCGGCAGGCCUAACACAUGCAAGUCGAGCGGAUGACGGGAGCUUGCUCCUUGAUUCAGCGGCGGACGGGUGAGUAAUGCCUAGGAAUCUGCCUGGUAGUGGGGGACAACGUUUCGAAAGGAACGCUAAUACCGCAUACGUCCUACGGGAGAAAGCAGGGGACCUUCGGGCCUUGCGCUAUCAGAUGAGCCUAGGUCGGAUUAGCUUGUUGGUGAGGUAAUGGCUCACCAAGGCGACGAUCCGUAACUGGUCUGAGAGGAUGAUCAGUCACACUGGAACUGAGACACGGUCCAGACUCCUACGGGAAGCAGCAGUGGGGAAUAUUGGACAAUGGGCGAAAGCCUGAUCCAGCCAUGCCGCGUGUGUGAAGAAGGUCUUCGGAUUGUAAAGCACUUUAAGUUGGGAGGAAGGGUUGUAGAUUAAUACUCUGCAAUUUUGACGUUACCGACAGGAUAAGCACCGGCUAACUCUGUGCCAGCCGCCGCAGUAAGAC
rnacentral:rRNA from 1 species